ensembl:snRNA U11 spliceosomal RNA
UUUUAGGACUCCUGCCAUGAGUAGCAUGCAUAGAGCAGCUUGAUUGCUCUAUGUGGAAUAGACAUCAAGAGAUUUUGGAAGCAUAAUUUUUUGGUAUCUGGGCAGCUGGUGAUUGUUGGUCCUGGUGCCCAC